GAGUGGCGACAGGGCGAUGAAUACAUGGGCAACGUGCCGGCGGCACGAUGAUAACUGCGGGAAGCUGCAGUUAAUACUCGAUAAGACCACAGUACCUUCGGGUGCACGAGUCAGAGGUGGGGACCUUCGGGCCUACCGGCUAUUAGAGCGACCCAUGUCCUAUCAGCUUGUUGGUGAGGUAACGGUUCACCACUGCGACGACGGGUACCGAGACUGAGAGGUUGACCCGGCGCAUCGGGACUGAGACACUGCCCGGACUCCUACAGGAGGCUGCAGUAACGAAUAUUCCGCAAUGGGCGAAAGCCUGACGGAGCGACGCCGCGUGUGGGAGGAAGGCCUUCGGGGUGUAAACCACUGUCAGGGAUUACCAAGCAAAGUUGGCGAAUAGCCUUCUGCGUUGAGGCGUCCCAGAGGAAGCCACGGCUAACUUCGUGCCAGCAGCCGCGGUAAUACGAAGGUGGCGAGCGUUGUUCGGAAUCACUGGGCUUAAAGGGCACGCAGGCGGACUGUCAAGCGUCUUGUGAAAGCCCCCGGCUUAACCGGGGAAUUGCUGGGCGAACUGGCAGUCUUGAGGCAGGUAAGGGCGAGCGGAACUCUUGGUGGAGCGGUGGAAUGCGUAGAUAUCCAGAGGAACGCCGGAGGCGAAAGCGGCUCGCUGGGCCUGACCUGACGCUGAGGUGCGAAAGCCAGGGGAGCGAACGGGAUUAGAUACCCCGG
rnacentral:rRNA from 1 species